UUACCUCUUUGUGAUUCAUGACUGGUGUGAAGUCGUAACAAGGUAAGCGUAGGGGAACCUGCGGUUGGAUCACCUCCUUACCUUAAAGA
rnacentral:rRNA from 1 species